CUAAUACCGGAUACUGACCCUUGCAGGCAUAUGCGAGGUUCGAAAGCUCCGGCGGUGAAGGAUGAGCCCGCGGCCUAUCAGCUUGUUGGUGAGGUAAUGGCUCACCAAGGCGACGACGGGUAGCCGGCCUGAGAGGGCGACCGGCCACACUGGGACUGAGACACGGCCCAGACUCCUACGGGAGGCAGCAGUGGGGAAUAUUGCACAAUGGGCGAAAGCCUGAUGCAGCGACGCCGCGUGAGGGAUGACGGCCUUCGGGUUGUAAACCUCUUUCAGCAGGGAAGAAGCGAAAGUGACGGUACCUGCAGAAGAAGCGCCGGCUAACUACG
rnacentral:rRNA from 1 species